UUUCGUGAUCUUUGCUU
rnacentral:sRNA from 1 species